rnacentral:rRNA from 1 species
AACGAACGCUGGCGGCAUGCCUAACACAUGCAAGUCGAACGAACCCUUCGGGGUUAGUGGCGCACGGGUGCGUAACGCGUGGGAAUCUGCCCUUUGCUUCGGAAUAACAGUUAGAAAUGACUGCUAAUACCGGAUGAUGUCUUCGGACCAAAGAUUUAUCGGCAAGGGAUGAGCCCGCGUAGGAUUAGGUAGUUGGUGGGGUAAAGGCCUACCAAGCCGACGAUCCUUAGCUGGUCUGAGAGGAUGAUCAGCCACACUGGGACUGAGACACGGCCCAGACUCCUACGGGAGGCAGCAGUGGGGAAUAUUGGACAAUGGGCGCAAGCCUGAUCCAGCAAUGCCGCGUGAGUGAUGAAGGCCUUCGGGUCGUAAAGCUCUUUUACCAGGGAUGAUAAUGACAGUGCCUGGAGAAUAAGCUCCGGCUAACUACGUGCCAGCCGCCGCGGUAAUAC